AACGGCCAUACCAUGCUGAAUAUAUCGGUUCUCGUUAGAUCACCGAAGUCAAGCAUCACUGGGCGCGGUCAGUACUUGGGUGGGUGACCACCUGGGAACACCGCGUGCCGUU
rnacentral:rRNA from 1 species